AUCCUGGCUCAGAUUGAACGCUGGCGGCAGGCCUAACACAUGCAAGUCGAACGGUAGCACAGAGGAGCUUGCUCCUUGGGUGACGAGUGGCGGACGGGUGAGUAAUGUCUGGGAAACUGCCCGAUGGGGGGGAUAACUACUGGAAACGGUAGCUAAUACCGCAUAACGUCGCAAGACCAAAGAGGGGGACCUUCGGGCCUCUUGCCAUCGGAUGUGCCCAGAUGGGAUUAGCUAGUAGGUGGGGUAACGGCUCACUAGGCGACGAUCCCUAGCUGGUCUGAGAGGAUGACCAGCCACACUGGAACUGAGACACGGUCCAGACUCCUACGGGAGGCAGCAGUGGGGAAUAUUGCACAAUGGGCGCAAGCCUGAUGCAGCCAUCCGCGUGUAUGAAGAAGGCCUUCGGGUUGUAAAGUACUUUCAGCGAGGAGGAAGGCGUUGUGGUUAAUAACCGCAGCGAUUGACGUUACUCGCAGAAGAAGCACCGGCUAACUCCGUGCCAGCAGCCCGGUAAUACGGAGGGUGCAAGCGUUAAUCGGAAUUACUGGGCGUAAAGCGCACGCAGGCGGUCUGUCAAGUCGGAUGUGAAAUCCCCGGGCUCAACCUGGGAACUGCAUCCGAAACUGGCAGGCUAGGUCUUGUAGAGGGGGGUAGAAUUCCAGGUGUAGCGGUGAAAUGCGUAGAGAUCUGGAGGAAUACCGGUGGCGAAGGCGGCCCCCUGGACAAAGACUGACGCUCAGGUGCGAAAGCGUGGGGAGCAAAAGGAUUAGAUACCCUGGUAGUCCACGCCGUAAACGAUGUCGACUUGGAGGUUGUGCCCUUGAGGCGUGGCUUCCGGAGCUAACGCGUUAAGUCGACCGCCUGGGGAGUACGGCCGCAAGGUUAAAACCAAAUGAAUUGACGGGGGCCCGCACAAGCGGUGGAGCAUGUGGUUUAAUUCGAUGCAACCGCGAAGAACCUUACCUACUCUUGACAUCCAGAGAACUUAGGCAGAGAUGCUUUGGUGCCUUCGGGAACUCUGAGACAGGUGCUGCAUGGCUGUCGUCAGCUCGUGUUGUGAAAUGUUGGGUUAAGUCCCGCAACGAGCGCAACCCUUAUCCUUUGUUGCCAGCGGUUAGGCCGGGAACUCAAAGGAGACUGCCAGGAUAAACUGGAGGAAGGUGGGGAUGACGUCAAGUCAUCAUGGCCCUUACGAGUAGGGCUACACACGUGCUACAAUGGCAUAUACAAAGAGAAGCGACCUCGCGAGAGCAAGCGGACCUCAUAAAGUAGUCGUAGUCCGGAUUGGAGUCUGCAACUCGACUCCAUGAAGUCGGAAUCGCUAGUAAUCGUGGAUCAGAAUGCCACGGUGAAUACGUUCCCGGGCCUUGCACACACCGCC
rnacentral:rRNA from 1 species